UUUCCUCCCACUCACUUCCCGGAGGUCCUGCGGGGUCCGCUUUGCGAAGUUACCCAUCCCAUGCAGGUGAGUAGGUAUUUCUCAGUUUGACUGUAAGUAGCUGCGACACGAGAUAGAGCACCGAGAACAAAACUGCAGUCGUUUCUGAGUUUUGCUGUAAGACUGGGAAUUCACACCUACCGGGAAGUCUUCUACAGUGAAAAGGCAACACGGCUUUGUUUUAGGAUGCAAUCCAGGAUCCUACAUUGCGUUUACUUGUCCUGUCUCCUUCCUCAGCCUUUGUCUUCCAUGACCUUAGGAUCUUUGAAAACUACUGGUCAGUUAUUUUGUAAAAUGUCCCUCAAUUUGGGUUUGUCAUGAUUUCUCAUGACUAGAUUGAGGUUAUGCAAUUUGGGCAAAAUACCACAGAAGUGAUAUUGUGUACUUCUUGGUGCCUCAUAUUCGGGGGUACAUGAUAUGCCUGCCUUAUUACUGUUUUAAGUUAAUAUUCAUCUCUUGCUUAAGGUGAUGCCUGUUAGAUUUCUCCAGUAAUCUUACUGUGUUCUUCUCUAUAACUAAUAAGUAUUUGGGGAGAGACACUUCAAGCCUGUGCAAAUAUCCUGUUUCUCC